rnacentral:snRNA from 2 species
CUGCUUCAGCAGCACAUAUGCUAAAUAUUGGAAUAUAGAGAAAAUUAGCAUGGCCCACAGGCAAAUUUGUGAAUCAUUCCAUAUCCUU